CACCGCACCACGCCCGCCGCACAGCUCUCUUCCCCAAACAACUGGAAUUCCAGAGCUGUCAUCCCAUUAGGAUGCCUGUCUUGUCAAAUAGCCUGUCAAACGCCAUCUGUGUGAGGAGCUUUAACAUAAAAGAAAACUUAUUCCGGGGACACUCUGUUUGUUUUGAACAUGAACAGUGUGCAAUGAAUUGAUAACAGAAUUACGUCCUAAAAGACAGAACAGCUUGUGUCUUAAUGACUCAUCUUUCUCCCUUGCGAGCUCACGGGAAGAGUUUAUCCAGCUCACACUGAAAUCAAAUUUCUCGUUGCGAAGUUGACAUCAGGUACACAGAAUGCGCAAGAAUAACAGGAUCCAGACCAGAUUCCUCGAAGACACUGAAAAAAUUAUUGUGAAGCAGAACUGAUUUAAUUUAAGGCCCCUAUGUGGAGAAAUGAAUUAAGCAACGGUACUUGUCUUAACCUACUGAAGAGUUCCCACAGCCAUUUUCUAUUGAUGCCAUCAAAGUACAAGUAAAGGGAAGGGAGUCUAUAAAUACUACAUCAGAGUUAACAGCUACUUCAGAUUGUGCGUACCUUCUGAUCUUCCCCAGAAAGAAACUCUAAUUUCACUCUUUUUACUAUCACUUCACAUAAAAAAUCAUUAUGAAUUAGUAUCGUUUGAACAGACAUUAAUGAAUUAACAGGAAGGCAACAGAAGCUACAUUAUGCUCCUGCCUUUCUGUUACAAAAUAAAUACAGAUGCACACUUCUAAUGAAGUAGUAGAUAACCGACAAGAGACUCGUGUAUUUGUUUCCUGAAUCUGCUAUAAAAUACUUUGUUCCUUUUGUAGGAGUGUUUCACCUUUAAGCCCUGUCAUGCCUAUUAGCUCAAUAAUAUAAAGGAAGUUAUAAAGCAAGUCAUUGCUGCUAAUACCAAAAUGACUGGGUUCAUUUUGAUAGGCUUGAAAACUGGAGCAGACAAACAUGCAUGUACUUAACAGCUCCCAAGCGUGGCUAACCAAAAGUGAGCCAACUGGUGUUCUACCAUGUACUGCCAAA